rnacentral:lncRNA from 1 species
UGAAUAUAAAAUAUUCAUAAAACAUAUAUUAUUAAACAUUAAACAAACAUAACAUAUAUCUUACAACAAAAGAUAUAGAUACUAUAAUACAGUCUACUUAUAUCACAUCGAUUUAUAUCACUCAUCGAUACUCUCUGGCUCAACCAAAAAGUCUGAUACGUCGAGAUGAGUAUCAUCGUUUAAACCAUGAAAGGAUGGCCCAGGUUCAUCAGAGAUGAAGUUAUUUUCACCUCUUCCUUUCUCUUUUCCCUUUUGAGAUUCUCUAUACAGAUCGGCUAAAUGUUUUGGUGUACGACAAGUACGUACCCAAUGACCUUUCAUGCCGCAUAUGUAGCAAACCUUUCCCGUUUGCCUUUUAUCAUCUUGGCCCUUUUCAUUCCUUUCAUUUUCGUGGAAGUCUUUAUUAUUUCUUUCAUCAUAGGGACGGAAUCUUCUUCCUCGUCCUCUUCCACGACUAUGAUAACGGUUUCCACCACGUCCACGACCUCGUCCUCUUCUAUUAUCAUAACUGGAUGAUGCAACAUUCGCUUCAGGGAAUGGAGCAGAUCCAGUGGGACGAGCUUGAUGGUUUAAGGUCACGAGUUGAUUAUUCUGCUCCGCUACAAGGAGGACUUGCAUCAACUCCGAGUAACGGGUAUAUCCAUUCACCCGGUACUGUUGCUGCAGGAAUACAUUUUCAGGAUGGAACGUGGAGAGAGUUUUCUCGAUCAUAUCAUAAUCACUUAUUUUCUCUCCACAUAACAUCAUCCUCGAAGUAAUUCCGAACAUCGCGGAAUUAAACUCACUAACACUUUUGUAAUCCUGGAACCGGAGAUGGAUCCACUCGUGUUUAGCUUUCAGUAAGAUCACAUAUUUUUGGUGAUCGAACCUCUCUUUUAAAGAUUUCCAGAGGUCACAAGGAUCCUCUUUCGUAAUAUAUUCAUCCUUUAAACCAUCAUGGAUGUGGUGUCGUAAAAAUAUCAUGGCUUUAGCCUUUUUCUCAUCCGACACCGUUUUUGAACUAUCGAUGGUUUCCAAAAGCCCAUUUCUUCUCAGGUGUAUUUUUGCACCCACUGCCCAGGUCAUAUAAUUAUUUUCCGUAAUAUCCAGGGCAUUAAUUUCGAGCUUUGCCAAAUUCGACAUGAUAAUUGUAUUCAUAGAAUAAUAUAUAAAUAUAGUAAAAUUUCGAGCUUUGUCAAAUUCGACAUGAUAACUGUAUUCAUAGAAUAAUAUAUAAAUAUAGUAAAGACGGGAAAUUAAAUGCAUAAUUUAAAUGCAGAAACUAAAGGCAUAAAAUAAAAGCAUUAACUUAAAUUGCAGAAAUUUAAAUUGCAGAAAUUUAAAUUGCAAGAAUUUAAAUAGUAUAAAUAAAAUCGGGAGGCUCAGCCUACCACAUGAUCCGAGGAGUCAUAGAAUACCAUAUUGAUCAUGUUUCAAAGUUCGAGGAGACAUGGAUACCAUUUUGACUUUAUUUAUUUUAAGGUCCGAGGAGACUUAGUCUACUAUUUUUGACCUUUUUUUUAAUUCACGGGGGCAAAGCCUAUCACAUAUUUCUCUGAUCGUGAAGGCAUAGCCUACCAUAACGAUCAGUCGGGGAAGGUAGCGCCUAUCAUCCCGAACGGAAAAGGUCCAGUCUUUCACUCCGAAACAAUAAUAAAAUUUAAAUAAAUUAAGUGUAUUAAAAUACAUAAAUUUAAACAUUACCU